AUAUCAAUAAGCGGAGGAAAAGAAACUAACAAGGAUUCCCCUAGUAGCGGCGAGUGAAGCGGGAAGAGCUCAAAUUUGUAAUCUGGCGUCUUUCAGGCGUCCGAGUUGUAAUCUAUAGAAGUGUUUUCCGUGCUGGACCAUGUCCAAGUCCCUUGGAACAGGGUAUCAAAGAGGGUGACAAUCCCGUACUUGACAUGACCACCAGUGCUCUGUGAUACACUUUCUACGAGUCGAGUUGUUUGGGAAUGCAGCUCAAAAUGGGUGGUAAAUUCCAUCUAAAGCUAAAUAUUGGCGAGAGACCGAUAGCGCACAAGUA
rnacentral:rRNA from 1 species